CAGCAGGAGUAGAGAGAGAGGGAGAGAGAGCCACAGAGAGGGAGAGGCAGAGACAAACCAGCAAUCUUUAAACUCGAGCUUUCUUUUUUUCCCCCUUCCUUUCUUUUGCCUUUUUUUUUUUUUUUUGGUAACGAUGUGCUAAAAUCUCUCCUGCAAACCGGUAAGUACAACCUUUCUGGAUCCUUUUGUUUCCGCCUAGGGUCAAAGACACCCCCCUCUUCCAAAAAGAAGAUAUAAUAAUCCUCUUUAUUUAUUUUUUUUAUUUUUAUUACAGCCCUUGCAGAAGAGAAAGAACUUAAGUGGCUAAUAUUUUGCAAAGGAGACAGAGAGAUUGAUACUGCAAUAUAGCUCUCGUCUCUCUCCCUUCUCCCCAGUUAGAUGCUGGUUUUAAUUGCAGAGGGUAUUUCUCUUUUCGUGCUUUCAACCAUCUCCUCUUUCCCACAGGGGAGGGUUUCAUUUGCAAGUUGAUCCUAAGGAUUUCUGUUCCUCUGGCAUUUCUCUCCCUUAAAUGCAUCUUUCUGCUCUUAAGUUUACGGAUGGGGGGCAAUUUUUUCUAGUUCUUACACGAGGAAGGCAAAAAGGACCUUUUUAUUGGGAGAUUGAGACUAAAAGCAAUGAUCGCUCCGAAUCAUUCUAAUGGGCAUUUCAGGGAUUCAAGGAAGGCUGCAUCACCACUGCUAUUAUUCCCAUCCUUAGCGUUUCCCUGUGCCCAUACAUUUAAAAUAUCUGGUGAAAGGAAGGGUGAAACCAUAUGUUGAAGGAGCUGCAUCUCAUUAGGGCAGUAUUAUUUUCAUCUGAUUGGAGAAGAAUGGUGUCUUCAUUCGGAAUCGUGUAUAGUAGGAUAGAGAAUUUAUCGGCUGGUAAGUGUCAAGGUAUUUUUUUUUUCUUCCACUUUCAGCUUUUUAACCGGGUCUCCUGCUUGGUCCUGGGGGCACAAAAUGCCCUAAUCCAAGGCAGGCUGAGCGUUUCAAUCCUAGGUGCCUCUUCAGCUGUCACUUCCCUUUAGAUCUGCUGAUCGCAUGGGCAUGUGCUUUAGAAAGAUUAAUCAUCUCUAAAUGCUUUAAUCAGCUAAAAUGACUAAUAUGUGGUGUGUAUUUAUCUGAUAAUAUACCAGUUGCAUUAAUUCACCGGCGCAUUUGCGAGGGGAAGAUUUCCUUCCCAAUCGGGGUCGUUAACCAUUUGCUCCGGUGAAGAUGCCGUGGGGGUUUCUGAGGGGAGCCGUUCUGCCAGGGACAUCAGCACAGCUCGCACAUUCCCUGGAACUCGCGUGUGGAACACAUCGAGCCGGGAGGGAGGGAGAUCGGAGGGCGGAGGUUCAAUAACUUUGGGAGUUUGCAUGGAUGAAGGAUGUGGUGCGACACUGGGGAAAUGUGCCCACACUUGGUGUGUUUUCCCCCCCGGAGUCGAGGCGGGCUGUGAUGGCUCCCGGGCUAAAACUGCACCCGGGGAUGAGAUCCGGGCAGUUCCGAAGCCUGGGAAACGUGGAGAGACGCAACACGUUCGGUGUGCUCGUGGUGCCGUGUGGGGCUGCAUGUGCUGUCCUCUUUAUAGGUGGCAUUUACCACGGGGAGGGGAGCGAGGCAGGCUGCUAUCGCGUGAUGGAGCCCUCUAACAUCUCUCAAGUAUAAAUCAGGGCAAGGCUCGCCCAGCCGACACCCCUGGAGUUGGUUGGGAACGUCUGCCCAACAAUUGCUGAACUUUCCAGGAGCCCGACAUGAGUCCAGCAGGUAGGGGCUUAGGAAAAGGAGAGGGGCAGGGCAGGAAUACUGAAAUCUGUGUUUCUCUUCCCGUUGCAGUUUUGUAAACAUCAACAAAUGAUGAAACCUUCCACGGCAGAGACGCUUCAUAAAGGAAGGAUGUUGUGGAUAAUUCUUCUAAGCACAAUUGCUCUAGCAUGGACUACACCUAUUCCCUUGAUAGAGGACUCGGAGGAACUGGAUGAGCCCUGCUUUGAUCCAUGUUACUGUGAAGUGAAGGAGAGCCUUUUCCAUAUACAUUGUGACAACAAGGGAUUUAUAAAUAUUAGUCAAAUAACAGAGUCAUGGUCGAGACCUUUUAAACUUUAUCUGCAGAGGAAUUCCAUGAGGAAAUUGUACACCAACAGUUUUCUUCACUUGAACAAUGCUGUGUCUAUUAACCUUGGGAACAAUGCACUGCAGGACAUUCAGACGGGGGCUUUUAACGGGCUCCGAGUUCUGAAGAGGUUGUAUUUGCACGAAAACAAAUUGGACAUUUUCAGGAACGACACUUUCCUGGGUUUGGAAAGUCUGGAAUAUCUGCAGGCAGAUUACAAUGUCAUUAAACGGAUUGAAAGCGGGGCAUUUCGAAACCUAAGCAAAUUGAGGGUCCUUAUCCUAAAUGACAAUCUUAUCCCCAUGCUUCCCACCAAUUUAUUUAAGUCUGUGUCCUUAACCCACUUGGACUUGCGGGGGAACCGCCUCAAAGUCCUUUCGUACCGCGGGAUGUUGGACCACAUUGGCAGGAGCCUGAUGGAGAUCCAGCUGGAGGAGAACCCGUGGAACUGUACGUGCGAGAUUGUGCAGCUCAAGAGCUGGCUGGAGCGCAUCCCCUACACCGCUCUGGUGGGGGACAUCACCUGCGAGACCCCCUUCCACUUCCACGGGAAGGACCUGCGGGAAAUCAAGAGAAGCAAGCUCUGCCCCAUGCUGUCCGACUCCGAGGUGGAAGCCAGCCUGGGCAUCCCUCAGCUGUCCUCCAGCAAGGAGAACGCGUGGCCUACGAAGCCUUCCUCCAUGCUGUCCUCCUUCCAUUUCACCGCUUCCUCCGUUGAGUACAAAACGUCCAACAAGCAGCCCAAGCCCACCAAGCAGCCCCGGGCGCCCCGGCCUCCCCCGACCCCCCGUGGCCUGUACCCCGGGCCCAACCAACCUCCCGUGGCUGCCUACCAGACCCGGCCCCCCAUCCCCAUCAUCUGCCCCACCGGCUGCUCUUGCAGUUUGCACAUCAACGACCUGGGCCUGACGGUCAACUGCAAGGAGCGGGGAUUCCACAACAUCUCCGAGCUCCUGCCCAGGCCCUUGAACGCCAAGAAGCUGUACCUGAGCGGGAAUUUGAUCCAGAAAAUCUACCGCUCCGAUUUCUGGAAUUUUUCCUCCUUGGAUCUCUUACACCUGGGGAACAACCGGAUCUCCUACGUGCAGGACGGGGCGUUCAUCAACCUGCCGAACCUCAAGAGCCUGUACCUGAACGGGAACGACAUCGAGCGGCUCACCCCGGGCAUGUUCCGGGGCCUGCAGAGUUUGCAUUACCUGUACUUUGAGUACAACCUGAUCAGGGAAAUCCAGCCGGCGGCCUUCAGCCUCAUGCCCAACCUGAAGCUCCUCUUCCUCAACGACAACCUGCUCCGCACGCUGCCCACCGACGCCUUCGCCGGCACCUCCCUGGCGCGCCUCAACCUGCGCAACAACCACUUCUUGGCGCUGCCGGUGGCCGGGGUGCUGGAGCACCUGCACGCCAUCGUGCAGAUCGACCUGAAGCUCAACCCCUGGGACUGCACCUGCGAGCUGGUGCCGCUGAAGCAGUGGCUGGAGGCGCUCAGCUCCGUCAGCGUGGUGGGCGAGGUGCUGUGCGCCAGCCCCGAGCCGCUGGCCCGCCGCGACCUGCGCUCGCUGGAGCUGGCCGCGCUGUGCCCCGCCGCCCUGCGCCCCGCCGCCGCCGCCGCCGCCUCGCCCCCCGCCGCCGCCCCGCCGCCGCCCGCCGCCACCGGCGCGGCCGCCUACGAGCUGCCCCCGGCCGCCGCGGCCGCGGCCGUGCCGCUCUCCGUGCUCAUCCUCAGCCUCCUCGUCCUCUUCUUCUCCGCCGUGCUGGUGGCCGCCGGGCUCUUCGCCUUCGUGCUGCGCCGCCGCCGGCGGAAGCUGCCGUUCCGCGGCCCGCGGGCGGAGGCGGCGGACCUGGGCGCGGUGCCGCUGCGCUGCCCGCGGCUCUUCCCCGAGGGCGGCGGCGGCGGCGGCGGGGGCGGCGGCGGCGGCGGGGGGGGCCCCGGGGAGCGGUCCCCGGAGAAGGCGCCCCCGGCGGGCCACGUCUACGACUACAUCCCGCACCCGGUGACCCAGAUGUGCAACAACCCCAUCUACAAGCCGCGGGAGGAGGAAGAGGCGGCGGGCGGCGGCGGCGGCGAGGCGGCCGAGCUGCUGCGGGGCGGCGGCGAGCGCGGCUUCGCCCACCCCGCCGCCCCCGCCGCCGCGCCGGAGCCGGGCAGCAGCUACCGCACCUUGCUGGAGAAGGAGCAGGAGUGGAGCCUGGCCGUGUCCAGCUCGCAGCUCAACACCAUCGUGGCCGUGCACCCCCAGCACCCCGCGGGCGGAGGGCUGGCGGCGGGCGCCCUCGGGGCGGCGGCGGCGGGGGGAGCCCCGCGGGACCGCGACCGCCCGCCGCCCUGCGCCGUGGGGUUCGUGGACUGCCUGUACGGCACCGUGCCCAAGCUGAAGGAACUGCACGUCCACCCCCCCGGCAUGCAAUACCCGGACCUGCAGCAGGACGCCAGGCUGAAGGAGACCCUGCUCUUCGCGGCCGGCAAGGGCUUCCCGGACCACCAAACCCCCACAAGCGAAUACCUCGAGUUAAGGGCCAAACUCCAAACCAAGCCGGAUUACCUCGAAGUCCUGGAGAAGACCACGUACCGGUUCUGACCGCCGCCCCGCCGCCCGCCCGGCCCCGCCGCCCGCGAGCAGAGGAUACAGCUGUGCGCUCUGCCCCGCCAGAUGUGCGCGCUGCGGGGCAGGGCCCUUCUCAGAUCAGUAAUCGACGAAGUGCCUUCGCAGACUUUUGCCAGCAGAUGUUAAUCAAUCAUUAUUUUUUAUACUGAAACUGAGACUUUGACUGUGCCAUGUCUAAAGGUAUAUUAUUAUUAUUAUUAUAUUAUUAUUAUUAUCGGGGAUCUUUGUAUUGAUCCUGAUCAAGUAAAUUCUAUGUGUGUCUCUUUCUCUCUUUUUUCUUUUCCCUGUUCUUUUGUUUUCUUUAUUCUUGUUGUUUGUUUUGUUCGUUGGCUCUUUUUUUUUUCCUUUUUUUUUUCUUUUUCUUUGGCAGUAAACUUCCUUGAUACUUUCCCUUGGAGGGGAGGGGGAGGGAAGAUGGCAUUUUCUGGCCUGCUUUAUUCUUGCCCAUCAUGGCACAGAUUCUGUACAUUUAUUUAAAAGAGGAAAAAAAAAAUAAUGCAAAGAAGCAAACGAGCGCAGUUUGCUGCAUGCCUGGAAACUGCAAGAGGGAAGGGAGGGGAGGGUCUUGCUCGAAUGUCUCACUCUUGUCUCUCUCCCUCCCUCGCACGCACACUCCUCACCCUCACCCUCCGCCAGCCCAGCCCCUGCAGGGGGGCUCGGGGGCCGCGGGGGGAAUCCCGGGGGCAGUCCCGGGGGCUGGGGGAAGCCACCCGGAGCCGAGCAGCCCAAAGGAUGUCACCACGUGGCGCACACACCUAGGGGAUGCUCAGUGACACUUCAUCAUGACGCCAUGGGUUUUUUUUUUUGUGUGUUGUUUUUUUUUUUUUUUUUUUUUUUUUGAGGACAUCCGCACUUUCCUAAUAAAAGCGACAUGCAAAUAUACAGAGAUAAAAAAAAAAAAGGAAAAAAAAAAAGCUAAUGGGCACCUCUCACUAACAGCUUUGUAGGAAGCACUUUUAAUGUUUUCUCUCAUGCACCCAUACACGCACACACGCACACACACACAAAGGUACAACAAUGUGCAUAUAUUUAUUCUGUAAUUUCAAGUGAAUAUAAAUUGUAAAGGUAAUGUUAAAUCAUUGUACAGUGAUGCGUCUGGUAUAGCUUUCCUAAUAAAACGUUUUGAAAAAAAUUACAGAUAUAUAUAUAUAUAUACAGCCCCAUAUAUAUAUAUAUAUAUAGGAAUACAAAGCUUGAACCUGAAACUUCAGCUUCCUCCACAGAGAUUUCCUUCCCCCCCAUAACCUUGAACGCUAUUUUAUUAAUAACAGUUCGAUGCACUGUGAUGUUAACAGAGAAAAAAAAACAACCCUGUACAGCGUCUCUUGCCAAGAUACCACCCGAGACUGCCACAAAUCCGAUUUGCGAUCUGUAUCCCUGCCGCACUGUCCUGACAGUUAAAAAUAUCGGGAAAACUGGGAGCGCAUCCCGCCGGAGCGCUGCUUCCCGGCCUGCUGGAGGCACCGGGAGGCAUCGCAGGGAUGUUGCCGGUGCUGGCAGCGGGGUGAGCACUCAAAGAGCUCCCACCCCUCCGGAUUAAACUGCAUUUCCAGUUUGGAAUGGGGGGAUGCCAUCUGGGAAAGCAAAGCAUCCCAGCGGGCGCGCCGCUCCUUCUCCCGCUCCAGGUGCAACCGGAGGGAGACCAAAGACCAUGGGAUUUCCCUGCCCGGGCGGGUCCCGGUUGGUAUCUUGUCCACUUUGGUGUCUUGUCCCCGGCGGUGUCCCUCUGUCCCGUGUCCCUCUGUCCCGUGUCCCUCUGUCCCGUGUCCCUCUGUCCCGCCGCUGUUGUGUCCCCGCGGCUCCCGGCCCCUCGCGGCCGCCAGGUGGCGCCCCAGCCCCAGCGCUGAGGGGCGGCGGCGGGGCCGGAGCGCCCGGGCUCGAUCCGUGCUCGAUUCAUGCUCGAUCCAUGCUCGAUCCCAGGGUUGAUCCCGGGAUUGAUCCCGUACCCGGCCCUGGGCUCCAUCCUGGAUUCCAUCCCGGGCUGGAGCCGCUCCCGACGCCGCUCCCUGUCCCCGUCCGCCCCGCCGAAUGAACCCCACGGGCGCCUCACCCGGGGCGGGCGGGGCCGCCAAGGGCAGCCCCCUCAGCCGGGCGCUGCCCUGAGGGCACUCAGAGAGUGGGGUCAAUCCAGAAAUCCCCCAUGUGUCCAUCAGCACCAUUUGUCUGAACAGCGGUCAGGGUGGUUUAUCCGGGUGAAUCGAGGUUAUUCCCUCAAGGGUGCUGCUGGAAGCGCUCCUGCCGCUGUCCCGAGGGGACCGGGGUCUGUCGCCUCCUGGCAAAGGGUCACAUUGCCAAGGUCACCCUCCCCACCAUCUGCUCUUCCUUGGGGAACAGCUCGGUUUCACCCCGCACAAUGUGUUUUAACAGAGAUAAACCCAUAAAUAACUUGUUGUCCCCACAAUGUCGCUAUUUAGAGCUCUGGGCAGGAUGCUCGUGGUGAGCUUUUUCUCUUGGAGAGUCAUUUCCCCAGCCUUGGUAGCAGCUGUGUGUGUCUGGAGAUGGAGGGACAGCUCCGAACCUCUGUAAAUCUGGCAUCACCCUCCAUGCUAUCAGUAAAAUUAUUACACAUUGCAAUUUCCCCUGUUGAGUUGAGAUUGUGUUUCCUCACUGCUGCCUUCAGCUCUGACCCGUUGGGGUUUGCUCAUUUGUUUGUUUUGUGAGUUUUUAAUAGAUAGUGGAAGAGCAUGCACGUGCUAAGAGUAUUAAACAUGCAAGUGCAAAGGCCAGAUCCUUCUUAUCAUAAUUGUAAUAAUUACAUUGAUAAGCCUACAUGCAAGUGAUGCGUGGAGCUGUAUAAAUCAGGUUAAAGUACAACCCCCAGUGAGAGUGGUGCUGUAUACAUUUGGCAAUGUCCUCGAAGCCCCAAGCGUUCAUACUUGUAUCCAAAUAGAGUAAAGCCGGUUGCAAAUAAUGUUUAUAUUUUAAUUAAACUGCAGAAAGGCAAGAGAACUUCAUCCUUACUAUAGGCAGUAAUCUCACCUGUGGACGGUGAGCAGAUCUAUUUAUUCAGUGGAAAUAAAUUUGUUCUAUGAGAAUGGAAUUUUGUAUUAAAAGAGAUAAUUUUUGGCUUACGUUGAGUUAUUUUUCUUUCCUUGUGUAGGAAACUUCCUUUCCCUUGUGUACUGAGAUGAUUUGGGGAUGAUUUGCUCUGGAAGUGUUGACAAUGUCUAAGUGUGAUGUCUAAAGGGUGUUUUGAUGAGUUUAGUUUGCUUUUUCAUUGUGUUGAACUGAGGCUGAGUGGGUAGCAGCAUUCCUUUCCCACCGCAGGAAAGAAAGUGGAUCCAUCAACUCUGACCUGCAGUGGGUAACACUGCAUGCUCCAACCCAGGUUCCUCCUAAUUAAUAUAGAGUAUUAAUGAUAAUUCUGUCUUUAUCAGCAGUAGCAUGGGUAGCAUUAAUGCUACUGGGAAGGAAUCAAAUAAAGUCAAAUGCUCUGCAGUUGCAUUAGAGCUGCUUGAUGGGAUGCUAUGUGAAAUAAAUAUUUUUUAGCUGACUUCAUGGUUUAGCUGAUUUCACCUGGUGUCAGCCUGAGCAGCUCAGCCUGUGGUAGUAAAACCUUCAGCAAGUGUUUGGUUUAUUCCCUCACUGACCAUUGAAAUUCUUCCUACAGGUGGAAAAGAACAGCAAGGCCAGGUAAGCCCCAGUCCCAGCCAACAGCUGCACACAGGGAAAUGGAAAGGAUGAUCCUGGUGCUCAAUUAUUGGUGCUUUUUUGUAUUUUCUGGAUAUUGUCAUUGACGUCACCAUCACAGUGUACCCUAGGUUAAAAAAUUUGUUUGGAAAUGGCUUCAUGGAUCUCUUGAGUGUAUCAACAGCGGUAGAAAGAUGUCAAAUGUUAUGGUAUGAGUAAUAAUGUGAAUUUUGGAAAGUCUGUUGCCUACUGCUUUUGAGUGUUAUUGGAGAGUGAGAAUCUCAUUUCUUAGGAGCUUCAGUGAACAUGAGUUAAGCUGUGGCAUUUCCAGAUUUUGCCUUUCUAGACAAAACCACCUUUGAGUGUGGCAGCACAGCUGACUUGGUUUUAAGCUAGAAAUGUGUGGGUUUGUCCAACUUGUUCUCGGAGAAUUUUGAGAGGAGGGAAAGGUCCCUCCAAAAUGUGAGGCUGUUCUCCUGAAGCACUUGGGUAUGCCAGCAGCACUUGAUGAUCUCUGUGCUGCUUCCACUUGCUUCAAGUAUCCACUUCACACGAAGAAGAUGUGAUGGUUUGGGUUGAGGUUUAACAGAAGUGUUCACGUGAAGAGCAGCAUGUAGAAUUUGGCCCUAAGUGUGGGAGUUCGUUGCUCAGGACAUUGCUUUACCAUGGGUGCGACUCCGGGCAGCGCUCCAGCCACCCCGGGGUGAACUUGUUCCUGGAUUGCCCUUCUUCCAAAGGCACUCGCUUUUACAACGUGGAUUUAUGGACACUGGGAAAUCAGGCUGCUCUGUGCUGCACAUUCCUGUUUUCUGAGUUUUUCCAAGGCUUGGUUUUCAAUCUGCAGCUGAGGUUCUCAGUGAAUUUAUGUAUGUAUGUAUUUGUGUGUAACCAAUUAUGUAUUUGUGUUGUACACAGUACAACACCGUUUUUCUCCAUGGGGGAAAUGCACAUUGACCCAGGAUGUAGCUCACAACAGCUCUUUGUACAAAAAAUCCUAUUUUUUAAUUCUGGUGUGAGUGGAAAUGGAUUUUUUUUUUUUUCCAGUUCUUGAAAUAUUUCUGGUUUGAUUGGGCAGUAGAAGGAAUCAGAAUGUGCUUGGAACAAACCCUUGAGUGGGAAUGGAGCGGAGGCCCAAUUCUGCUCCCUUGGAAGCCAAUGUUGAGACACCACAUUAUGCUCAGUUUUAGUCAACAGACUUGAAUGAAGAGCAAAAUCUGAUCUCAGAAAAUUACAGCAUCUAUUAAGUGGAUUCAAGUAUUUUGAGACAAGUACUCCAUGGGACUGUUUCAGAAUGAAAUGAGUAAUGGUACAGAGGAAAUGGGUUUGCCAUCAAUUCAGUGAUUCUUUGACUGACCUCGCUCACAAAUUAACUGAACAAUCUUUAAGGCUUUAGAUUUUAAAGACAAAUUUGUUUAUCUCUAAUGUCAUUGGUGACCAACUAGCCAGGAAGAUUACUAAUGUAACCAUUGCAAAUUAUUUGGAAAUAAUUUAUUAGUAUUCCUUUUUCUCUUUGAGGGCAAGGAUAUGGAGGUCCCUUCCAACCCAGGGCAUCUGUGUUUCUGUGAUUGACAGGCUCUGACAACUGUAUUUCCUACAACUUCUUUAAAAUGCCUUUUCCUUGAUCCUUGUAGUUUCCCAGUUGUAAAAUUCUGUCCUUAUCACAUUUUUGUUUAGGGUGUUGGGGCAGUUUGGCAGAUUUCUAUGAAACUAUUGACUUUGCUCAGAGAGCAAAGCACAGAGCACCCCAGGAGGCUGCUGGGGUGACACUUGUAGGUCACUUUUGAUCCCUGUGGAAAGAUACAUAAACCUUUGGUUUUGUAUUUGGAAACACUUCCCUGUGGUGGCAUUUUCUCUGCUAAAUUGUUCAGUAUUGUGUUUUUCAGGAUGGUGUCAGAUGGAUAAUUUUUGUGGGAAGAUGAGAGGAAAAGGCUCAAAGAGCAGAGCUGUAGGAAUGCCCAUAUUCAUGCUGGGUGGUCUCUGUAGGGUGGGUGCUGCAUCAAUCCUGAUAUUUUUGAAUGUUAAUGGUGUUGAUCUGGAGUGUAGGGUUUUUAGGCAUUAUUUAGAGGUGUGGACUCUAAUAGUGCAAGACUCAGCUGUUGGGUGCCUUAAAAAGAAGAGAUACGAACAGAGGGCAGAGCAAAUAUAAAAUAUUCACAACCAAGUCCUAUGUCCUAUCCUGAAUCUUUAAUGUCCAUUUACUUUACUUUUUCCACUAGAAAUUUCUAAAUCUCUCAAGAAUAUCCUAUAUGUUCUGUAAAUCCUGAAGAGAUAUUUCAGGUUAGCCAAGGAGUGACUCUCUCUGUACUUGGGAAUUCCAACAAAUGCCACUGCCUGUGGAGGAAUAUGCUGCCCAUGGCAUGUGGCACAGUAAUUUGGCUUGUCCUUGGAGCAUGGUGCCAGGGAGGGAGGUUCUCUGCAGUCAUCGGAUUUUGCAGUAGGGCUUGAAUGAUUCCAAGCAGGAAUUCCUGAAUUGUGAUAAAUCGCUUUUGGAAUGGGAAAGACUUCAUUUGUGCUGCUACUUCUGGUGGCACUGCCAUCCCUGCCGGUGGUGGUGACUCUUGGCACCAUUCCUGAGGAGGGACUCCUGUGACAGUAACCUAAAAACCAACCAACCAACCAAACAAAAAGCUGAAGAAAUGUUUGUGACUUUCUGUCCUACAGGGACCUUAUCUGAAGUCAAUGACAUUCCCCAAAUGUUACAGUGGCAUUAAUAUACUGCUUAUGGGGCUUUCAUGCAUUUUUUUUGUUGCUUUCCUUUGCCUUUCCAGAGACAGUAGGUGGAUUACACCUUAAAGAAUUAUAGGAAUGUAUUUGUUGAUCCUUUUUUCAGGCUGUACUUGUUUAAAACUAAGUCAGUCCCAGCAGUAACUGUCCUAAACUGAGUUUUAUAGAAAGAUACAUAAACCUUUGGUUUUGCACUUGGUCUCUAAAUUAUGUGUUUAAAUAUAUAUAUAAAAUGUCCAUUAUCUGAAUAACCCUUGAACUAAAGGCCAUCUUUGAACUUUGGAGGCUUUGUAAAUCAAAGUUUAUUAAUGGUUUGGUUUUAUGGGUUUUUUUUUGUUCUGUGAUUGUUCAGUUUGAUUUUACCACUGGUACGACCAGAGAGAGGGAAACAUUGCAGUGUGAAAAUUCUUAUAAUAGGACUUUCAUUCUUGUGCUUCUUUUCUUUGGAGAGUGAAGGAGCUCUGCUCCAAAGAGCGUAGGAAUUGCCACUCAGAGCUGAAAUGUCUUCACUCUGCUGUGUCCUGAGAGUGCCCAACACAGUCUGACUCACAGAGAGAUGCCAGAAAUCCCCAUUAGUGAGAUUUCAGGGUUGGAUGGGACCAGCCAAGCUGCUCCACCUGAGAAAUCCAGUCCUUAGGGUCCUACACCACUGGAGCCACUGGCCCCACGUGCACUGGGAGCACUGAGAAAAUUCAUGUUGUGUUGCUUAGGUGAAAAACAAGCUUUACAAAAAUUAGGCAUUGGUAAUGGAUGCUUUUCAGUGAAGUUUGUCUGUCUUUUUAGGGAACCCAUCCAGAUUUCUCUGGUGCUGUUAAAUUGCCAUGCAAGGGCAGGACUGAUCAGUUGUCCCCAAAGCACUGCUGGAAUAAAUCUGUAGCUAAAUGCAUUCUUCUUAAUCAGAGAGACAUUUCCUGUGGCAUCACUUCUGUUAUGUUUUCUUGCAGUGACCCAAAAACCUGGCUGCUUUGGAAAGUGGAUAGUAUUGGCAAGCAAAGAAAUAUGAGUGGUGUAUUGCACCUCGAGACUUCCCUCUGCCCCGCCUGGAGUGCCCUCAGCUUGCUGGCAGCCUCGCCAGGUUGGCCGUGGUGGUGUCACAGGCCUUUGCCAACCAGAGCCAACCAGAGUCUGUCCAAGCCUUCAGAGCACAAAGCCCUGAUAAGAAGGAUCUCUAACAGGUACGCAUCAGGGAGAAGGAGGAGAUGUUCCUAAAAUUAGUUGCUGUCAGCUCCAAGCAGGAGUGAGUGCCUCGUGUGUCACAGAAACGCUGAGUAUGUGCUGUAUAUACUGUGUGUAAAUCUAAGUAUGUACCUAUAAUUACACUACGAAAGUGUAAAAUUCAAUCUUUGCAAACUUCUGGGAGAUUCAGGAACAUGGCUUGCUUUGGACUGUAAUUAAAAUGUGGGCAUUUUGGUUAAAAAUAGCUCCUUUCUGACCUACAUUCUCGAUGUAGGUCAGUGGAGGCACUUCUCAGACAUAUUAGCAUUUUGGACACUUAAUCUUAGCAGCAUAUUGCCUCUCCUAGAAUAGGUUAGGGGAGGCAAGGCAGGAGGAAUUGCUGCAUCUCGAGUCACCCAGAGAGGUUGCCAAGUUUCUCAGGCACCAGAGAGGCAGAAUAAUGAGGAUUAUAUUUAAUUCGGGCUGGAGAGACAACCGUGGGGUGUUGAGCAGAGGCAGCUCAGAUCAUCUUGGCUCUGUGGGGGAGGGAGAAUUUAUAACUCUAGCUGGCUCCAAAGCAAGCUGUGUGUGCAUUUGCGUGUGUAUGUAUAUUUAUAUAUAUGUAUAUACAAAUCUGGAUGUGUAUAUAACACCCUGUGUAUAUAUGUAUGUAUGUAUGUAUAUGCCUACAGUGUACAAAAUGUGUAUCUAUAGAAAUGUAUACAUUUAUAUGAAUUUCUAUUUCUCUAUAUAAAUAGUCAUGCAACUAAGGGAAAUCACAUUUCCACUGCGUGUCCUUUUCUGUAACACCCCCCCAAAAAGAAGCUGCUUCCAUUAAUGUCAUAUUGGCACAAACAACUUAAAUUUUCUUUUCUGUUUAGAAAGGAGUGGUGCUUAGUGGCUGAGCACAAGCCUGGAAGGUUUUUACUCUUCCAGAGGACUUCCAGUAAAUCAUGAGCUGCUCCAGAGCUGUUCCAUAUUUGUGAAAUAAAGGGGUGGCCAAAAUGACUCAGGGCUGGUUUUGUAGGGGUUGUUGAGUGUGCAUUGGAAACCUCAGCUAUGCUCUCAGAGUUUUGAUGGUGAAAUAUCUGCACUGCUAAUUACUCUGGUUGCUGUUAAUUUCCUAGCAAUUGGCUUGAACAGGGGAAAAAAAUUUCCUGCUCUAAAGUAAGUUAUCUGAAGUCUGAUUAUGUUGCCUCAGUGAUGUAUGGAUUUCCAUUUAGGGUCAGGAUGUUGGGCUGUAAAUCAAGAAUCUGAGCUCAGUGAACAUCUAGUUUGGGAUGUGUCUUUUCUGUUCUAAUUGAUUUUAAAUAAUUUCAAUUCAUCAUCAGAAUGAGCUAUACCUUAAUUCAUGAUAAGCUCAAAGAAUUUCUCAUUCAUAUCAGGGUGAAUUUUACACUUGACUUCGGUGGGGCUGAACGAGGUCAGAGCGUUUCAUUCAGCACUGGCAUAAAAACAAUCUUGUAGUUGUGCAACUAUUAAUUCAAAUUGUAAUUUUGUAAUAAAAGCAGCCUAAAAAU